rnacentral:rRNA from 1 species
AGAUUCUCGGCGUACCGCUCAGUAACACGUGGGUAACCUGCCCUAUGCUGGAUAAUAACCUCGGGAAACUGAGUAUAAUGAUCCAUAGUUCACUACGCCUGGAACGGUGAGUGGAUGAAAGCUCCGGCGGCAUAGGAUGGGCCUGCGGCGUAUCAGGUAGUAGGGGGUGUAACGUACCCUCUAGCCCUCUACGCGUACGGGUGUUGGGAGACAUAGCCCGGAGAUGGAUUCUGAGACACGAAUCCAGACCCUACGGGGUGCAGCAGGCGCGAAAACUUGGCAAUGCGAGAAAUCGUGACCAGGGAACUCCAAGUGCAUCGGGUAAGACCGGUGCUUUUCUUGACUCUAAAUAGGUCUUGGAAUAAGGGGUGGGUAAGGACGGUGCCAGCCGCCGCGGUAAUACCGGCGCCUCAAGUGGUAGUCGAUUUUAUUGGGCCUAAAACGUCCGUAGCCUGUUUGGUACAUUCGUGGGUAAAUCAACCAGCUCAACUGGUUGAAUUCUGCGAGCACGGCCAGACUUGGGACCGGGAGAGGUGUGGGGUACGCUCAGGGUAGGGGUAAAAUCCUGUCAUCCUGAGCGGACCACCUGUUGCGAAGGCGCCACACUAGAACGGAUCCGACGGUCAGGGACGAAGCCUAGGGGCACGAACCGGAUUAGAUACCCGGGUAGUCCUAGGUGUAA